AGUCCCAUUUAGGCAGGCAAAGGGAGCGGGUUGCUCAUCAGCAUGAUGCUAGACCAGGCAGGGCAGUUCCAGCCUGUGUUUGCGGUGUUGUGUGUCUUGUCCUGUGUGUCUCAGCCCUUCCUCGGGUCUCAACGCCCUCUUUGCGCUCAAGGGGCACGGCGUGCUUCUCGGUUGCCAUCCCUAGGCUCUCGGAUGCCUGCACUCAUUGGCGUAGCACCAGUCGGGCGCUUCUUUGCUUGCCUUGCAAGCUCACGGCGUGGAUCGUUCUUGCAUCUCGGAAGCUUCCGGCGGGUCCUCUUUUUGCAGCCUAGUCCUAGGCCGCAUCGGGAGCUCUGCUCUCCAGCCGUCUGUUCUCAGGGACCGAGGCUUCUUCUCUGCGUCGUUACAUUCUUAGGUCUUGAAGAGAGGCUUCUUGCCGCAUCCCUCGCCCUGGUUUUGACGGUAACUUCUUACAACUGGCUAUCACAGUCCAUUCUUUUCUGGGGUUGCCAUAGAGCUUCUGCGCCCGGGCGUCACGCCCUGUAGGUCAUCUUGUUGGGCAGCCUCUCUGGUCCGGGAGUCAUUCCUCUCACUGAGAGUUUUCUCUCAUUUGUGAUCUGUGUUGUUUGUAGCACUCUGUGUAGCGUUGAUCCCUGUGUGUGUGUGUGUCUUGGGCGUGGAGCUGCUCUGCCCAGGGUUGUCGAGUCCAGGGUUGGGUGGAAUAGCAAGAAGAGGGUCCCGUUAGCGGGUCAGUAUGGCCAGUCUGGAAUUGUUUGGCGCUCACUCAGCGUCUGGCUGACUUGUUUAAUUAUUUUGGGUUUUUUUUUUUCAGAUGCAGAGAGAGAGGAAGCGCACCGAAGAGCAGCACAGGAGGGGAGCAGAGUGCCGUAAGGAGUUUUACAGGUGGCGGUCAGGCCUCUGCACGGCAGGCCGAAGAAUCCGACUCCGAGCGGCCGAGGAAAAGGGACGGGCGAGAGGAAGGCGUUUCCAAGGAGGGCUUCGUCGCAGCGGAGGUCGACGCCGGGCGGCACGUCGGUGACCGGCGACGCUCUGUCUCGUGAGGGAUGAAGCGGAACCCGGCGGAUGGGGGAGCGUCCCGGUUAGAUGACCUUUUCCCCAUGAGAAGGGAAUCUGGAUUCUGCCCUCUGAAAGGUCUCUAGGUUCCGCCGCAGGCGCUCGGCGAGCAUCCGCGGGGUCCGUGACGCCUCGUCGCUUCGGAAUAUGGCCCAUCGAGCGUUUCUCGUCUCGCGAUCGGAGCUUAAAGCGCGCCUCGCAUCGCAGAUGUUUCUGCGAGGUGGCCUUUGUGGAGGUGGUCUGUGCCGGACUCACAGUCGUGCUCUAGAAACUUCCGCCUCAAUUGAAGUUUGAUACCAUCUUUCAUCUCUAUAUGCUGUGGGAUGCUGGACUAGUCCAGGCUUGUUGGUGCCGAAAACAGGGCCAUUUUGACCCAGCAGAAGGGGCCCCGGGGGAAUCCAGCUUGGGCGAGAGCAGGGAUUGAGCAAAUUGCUUAUCUUGCACUGAUAAGCACCGGACCCGAACAGGGGCAUGAGAUGAGCAAUUUGUUCAUCUUAACAAGAUGUGGUGUCUGAUGGGUCUACUCCUUAAUCAACUAAGUGACGCCUGGGGUGAGGGGGAGCCUCCUUCGCAGCUCGACCUUACUUUGGUAAAACUAAACAGACCACCGCUCCUCUGGACUGAACACGUUUGUUCUCCGCCACUUCCCCCCCCCAGCCCCGACCAACUGCACAACAAGCCUUGUUAAGGGCCAAUCGGCACACAAUACCUGACUUAGUCCCACCUCGCCAAAAGUAUAAAUCUGGCAUUUAGAAUCCUCUUUUUUGAGGACGAGAACUCCAACUAUCCGGACGGCUCGACGGGCCUGGACCUCUCUCUCCUCCCCAAGCAGGGACGCCUCUUUGGUGCCACGGCACGAUUUGGAUUCCCGUACGACACCCUCGAGUGAGGUUUUUGUGGAGUAUCCAAGUAACAGCGAAGGAGCGGUGCAGUUAGCAAGGCAUCUUCCCUGGUCCCUGCCUAUGAGCGCUAACUCUACAGAGUCAGGCGGAGCGGCGAUGCUGUCUUAAGGGACAGGGUGAGGCCGUUCCACAGAUGGGCCAAGAAUCGGGGCCGUGGCUCGUUGUGGCGGGCAGGUGGCAGAACGGCUGUGCGUUUG